UUUGUGGUUAGUUGAGAAAAGUCAACGGGUGAUCAUUUCAGGUAGGGUGGCCGAGUAGGUGGCAAGCUGUAGACUUGUUUACGGGGCAGACCCCCCCCCA
rnacentral:tRNA from 1 species